ensembl:lncRNA
UAAAAAUGAAGGAUUUUUGAGGAAGAUAACAUUGCAGACAAGUCAGGAGGACAUCACUGACUUCUGGGACCAGUUGAUGAGCAUCAAUUCCCAUCUCAAAGAGAUGUCAAUUAGGGCUUCUGCUUUGGAGUUCAUCUUUCAUCUACCACAGAUGAUUAUCUAAACCCUCUCAAAAGUUUUGCUCAGUGCUGUUUCUUCUGUAAAAGCCCCAGGCAAAAUUCUUAUCCUGGACUCAUGCAGUGGUUCUUGUCUCCAAUCUUCUGCUCUGCCUUCAUGCCGAGGGAAUCUUCCUUUGACUGGAAGUCAUAUGGCCCAGGAUGUGCUUUGUGGGUUUUUUUCCAUUGUUGCUUUUUCUGUGUACAUCCUUAAACAGUUUUCUGGCUGACCUACAUGCCUGUUGGCUGACAUCAGCUGGGAGAGUUGAACUGUCUUGAGAAUACCCUCAUCAUUAGGACCAAGAUGUUCAAAUGGCACAAAAGCCAAAUAAAUUUUGGACACUCUUAUUCAGAUUGACAAAGCUAUAUGAACAAAUUAAAAAUAACUAACUUGUGUCUUCACCAAAAAUUUGAAGAGAAUAUAAGAAUAAUUUAAAGUGUUGUUAGAAAAAUUUGCAUACAUAUGUAAUUGAGUUAUAUUAUCAUCAUGAUGUUAUAUUAUUCUCCAGUUAAAUCGCCUGAUUAUUCAUGUAAUAAUUUCAUUCCAUUAUAAUGCUGUAAAUGAGAAAGUGGUGACCCAAUAUGUCAUUUGCCAUUUUAAAUUCAGCUCAAGAAAAGGACUGAUGCUGACUAAGCAACAAGUUCAAACGUUCUGGAAAUCUGGAAAUAUUUCCAAUUUUCUGGGGUUGUAUAAGAUUUAUAGAAGUCUGUGAAUUUAAAAAGACCUAGUAAAUAAAUAAAUACAUACAUACACACAUAAAUGCAUAGUAAAUAAAUAAGAGAUUUGGAAAUCCAAUUCAAAGCAGUAGCUGGAAAGAACCAAGAACACAGCAGCAGUCACAAAGACUGGGGAGCUGGCUCAGCAUGAUGUCAGAGUUGGGGCAGCUCCAUUGACAUCACUGGGGUUAAACUAAUGUGAAAGGACAGUUUACGUCUGGGGUCUGGCCUCACAUGAAAAAUAGAUUUGCUCAAAGGCUUUACAUUUUUUCAAAAGAUGCGACGACUGGAGCCUGUCCCAGUACUGAUAUAUUUCAAUAGCUGUGCUAUGUAAAACUGCAUGCAGAUUACUGCGGGCAAUGUGCAUCUCAUAGCUUACCUUUUUAAAAGAGGUGAUAUAUUGGUAAUUUUAAGACAGAGGGUUUCUUAAAAAAAUGUUACUACCUAGUUUUUAUUUUCUUGAAGAUGAGUGUAUCAUAAUAAUCAUAAUCAGAUUAUUUUUCCUCCUCUGAUAAGAACUGUGUAAUUCUGCUCCUGAAGUUACAUUAUGCUGGAAAUGACUCCAUAUCAAGGCUGUGUUACUGAAAGGUUGCUUGGCCUCACCAAGAGGGCACAUAGAAAAACUAGCUUUCACUACAAAAAAAUAAUUCUCAAAAGAUACUACAAAGUAAUGUCCUCAAAAAUGUUUCCUAGAAUGACAAACAUAUUAUUUUCUCUUCCUGACAUACUACAAUUACAGAAAGAACUCCAUAUUUCUGACUAAGUGUGAGCUCCCGGUGCUAUCUGAGAUACCCCAAGACAGCUGAACAAGACCUCUCUCAAGAAUAGGAUACAGAGUCUAUAGGAGGUCUGUAUUGACCUGGAGCAGCACUUAGACACUAGGUGGCCCAUGUGAAUUCACUGUACUUAGGCAGAUGAAAGGAAUCCAAAUAUAAACACUUCUUCUAAUAGUAGAGCAUCAGAGAAUAGAAAAACUCACAGAACUGACUUAUUAGGUGGACAUCUCCAGCCCUGAAAUGAAGGCCAUAAUUUAUCCUAGCACUAGUACUUUAUUUUCAGGUAAAUUUGAAAAUAACUUGGGAGAAAUAAAACAGUUUUAACAUGACAAAGAUGGAAGUUGAAAGUCCUGGGAAAUUCCUUUGUUACAUCCAAAUCAGUUGGAUAUAAACAUAUCAAAUACAAUAAGUACUUGGGAACAAGUUUUAGAAACAAAUCAAUGGGAUACUAGCUAGAUAACUGAUGAUUCCAAGUUUGCCUUAGUUUUGUGUGACCUACUUUGUAGAUAUUUAGCUAACAAAGUACUGAGAAAUAUUGUAGAAGAUUAAUGACAGUAAUAAAGUUCUUGUACUUCAGGGUUUGCAAGAAACACUUCUUACUAUCUCCCAUUGGCCUCAGGAUUGCAUCCUGUCUUCUCUGAUUCAAAGCCAGUAAUGAUAACUCAUUCCUCUAGCAUGAUCCAUUUUUGUUACAGCAAUGCAAUUUAAUUGAGCUGGAAAGCAUCAGCCCUGGGAAAGCUGAAGCUGCUGCAGAUGCAGAAGCAUCUUGCUUCCUCAGAACUAUCAGUCACAAAACUCUUUGCUUUGCACUUGCAGCCCACAUACCAAUUAAAAUGUUCUCUAUAGGUAAACUAUGUCUUCUUGCCACUUAAAUAAAAUUGCAUGCAUCUAUGCAAUGCCUGCUCCAAACACACCAUUAAGCCCUGAAUAUUGGUGGGAUUGACUCAGGCCUAAGCUGGACUGCAGUUUUGAUGCCAUUUUACUUUAUGGGACACAUGCUUUGUUCCCUUCAUUUACUUUCUUCCUUUGAUAGUAAAUUAUCAUACUAAAAUUUUUGGGAAAUUGGGAAACCAAAAUUAAAUAAGUGCUAUUGUAUCAAAAUAGUGUUACUUCCUGUGGAAUUAAGGAAGUUCUUGAAUAUAGAGACAAAUUACAGAUACUGAGUUUGUUAAUUUAGCUAAACAGUCAAAUAUCUUUCUUUAACAUAUAACAUAAAAAUUAUCAUAACCCCUCACUACAAAAAUAGACAUUGAAGCCCUGGAGUAUGUCCAGAGAAGGGCAAUGAAGAAGUCUGAAGCACCAGUCUUGCUUUUCAAAUAUAAAGAAUUUCAAAGAGUGUUAAUGAAUUUUGCAGUGAUUGGCAUUGCUGGAAUUUUUUAUGUGUCCAAAUGUGAUUAUUUUAAUACUAUACAUCAAUAUUUUCUCUGUAGUGUAUUUACAUCAGUAUGUUUUGUCACAGGAUCAAUAUGCAAAUAAACUUUUUUGAAUAGC